GGUUUUCUCUGUGAUUCUUUUGUUGUUGUUGUCGUUGGUUGGUUAAAUGAUUAUUUAAUGAUGCUUUAAACUGAAUCUUUUCCUCACACUCACAUGCUUGGAACUAUCUCACACGAGGAGGAGCUCAACACAAAACCACACGCGUACGACCCACACCGACUGACUGAGACACACAGAACACACAGCAGUCACUCUUACCACAAAUUGUUUCGGGACAAUUCCUCUAAAGAUCCUGAAUGUCUCCCCCCCACCGUCAGUGUGCCUUCCAAAGUCACAAAGGUGAGAGGGAGAUAUGUUUGUCUUUUUCCACUUCAGUGAAGGGUGAAUUCGGCGCUUCCAGCGCAGUAAAAAAUGGAUUACCCAUUCAUUAGAGGGCUGUGUCACUCCUCAUUGAGUUGGACAAACAACAAAUUAAUUUCCAGCCGCCUAAUUUCUCUCUGUUCUCCGCUGAAUUUCAGGAUAACGCCAAAUUACCGAUCACCGCCAUGUGAGCUCCCUCAUCCUCUUCAUUAAUUAAUUAAAAAAUGUGCCAGAGUGGAGAGAAACGAUGGGGACAAAUCUCACCUCCUAUGUCUUCACGCUCCAGACAAACACUGCACUGAUCACUCAAACUGCGAAAGGAAAUGUGAAACUAUAUAUAUAUAUAUAUAUAUAUAUAUAUAUAUAUAUAUAUAUAUAUAUAUAGCGUGGAAAUAAAAAUGACUUUGUUUUGUCAGAAAUCAAGACGCUUUUCACCACGUUUCACUCAAACUGUGUUUUGUGGAAGGAAAUGUAAAAUUAUAUAUCACUGUAUUUAUAAAUAGGUAUGUAUAGUCAUAUAUCAGAAAUAAAAGUAAUUCAAAUAUUGAACAAAGCAAACCCCUUAGAGUCACUUUUGGAAAAAGACUAAACUGUAAAUAAUAACCCUGUUACAUGUCCAUCCAUAAAUCAAUACCAUAAACGACAUAAGCCUGAGUGUACCUGUGCUCUCUGGUCAAGUGCCUUGCAGGGUUGGUUAGCCAUGGCCGAUCUUUACUCAUGUAUUCGUUCAUUUUGAGUCGCGGGUAAGCAUAUUGACAAGGCGAUAUUGAUGUAUCAAUUAGGCCAGCGUUACCGCAACUGUGCCGGCGCGGCAAGGUAACGUAGAGCCCGCGCGGGUCUCCCACCAUCUGCUCUGCCGUUACGUCUGACGAACGAGGCACACGGGGCUAAUCGAGCCGCACAUGAGCGAUGGGACCCGGAGCUGGCGUUGCAUGCGCCCCGUACUUGCUAGGCGGAAAUGUGUGCGUUUGUGUAUGUGUGUGUUUGCGUGUACGUGUGUGUGUCUGUGUGUUUUGUUAAAACUCAUAAAAAAAAAAGCUUUUCAGGAUGCUUGGCUGAAUUAAUGGAUGAAUUAAUGAACGCUGAAAAUAAAUAAUCAAAUAAAUAAAGAUAUAAAUACAAUUUUAAAAGGCAGUGGCUUGUGCCAGCUUCUUUCCUCGUGCCGGGACAGUACGAGGGAAGCAUUAUGCCCGGACUCGCUGGCUGCCAAACCAUGACUCAAAGAGCUCAUUGUGUGGAUUACCUCGUUAAUCUGUUGAUGCCAUUGAGCACUAUCACAGGUGCUAAUGUGCCAGGGCUUCGUUCUCUCUCUUUUCCCCUCUCCCCCACCACCCCCUUUCCUCCUUCGCUCCUUUUCCUCUUCGUCUCCUACUGGAGAGGUGUAGCGUUAGGUUGAUAAUCUUCUUUAAAUGCUUUCUGGGGGAAUGGGAAUGGCUGAAACGGAGCCAAGAGGAGGCUGUUGUGUGGAGAGAGCCUUUCUUUUUUUAUAAUGCCGCAUACUGUGACUGCAGUGCCGGAGCCAACGGGGAUGCGCUAGAGCUCCAUACAGUGUUGACACUUGUUGAGAUAUAAAACAAGGCCCAAAUAAGCAGGUUGAACAACAAGUGAUUACCAAGUGAUAACCCGACCUUGCAAUGCAGUUCACUAAAGUGUUGACUUAUUAUUGCUAUUCCUUAAGGGCGAGAGGCUGUUAUUCUCGAAAGCAGUCGUCUCGGCUCAAAGCUUAGCGCCACGUUUUUUUAGCACAACACUGUUUUUUAACACGACGAGCUGAAGCCUCUGUGAAGGAAAUGGCCCAGUGCAGUAGGCCUACUACAUGCAGAGGUAGCACAACACACACACACACACACACACACACACACACACACACACACACACACACACACACACACACACACACAUACACAGAACGCCAGAAAUAGAAAUCUAAAGACAGAGGAGGCAGGAGAAAGACAUAAUCCUCAUUUUUUUCUCCCAUCUCACGGGGUGGUCUCUUCAUCCUCCGCCUCAAUUGGGGGUACAGAAAGGACGGCGGCUCCACAAUGGAGGGGACCCAUCGAGGCUGGGGGGGAGGUGGGCCUGGAGAGGGGGUAGCUUUAAACGGGCCUUUGAGCAGCCUAAUUGCAUUGGAAUCCAGGAGGCCUGAGAGCGGCUCAGAUCACUGCUGAGUGUGGAAGGGGCUGACACUGGCCUGCGCCACCUCCACCAGCCAGCCUCACACCAAUGAUCCCCGCCACGACACACACAAUUACCGUCAUUCGCCCCUCCACCCCUCUCUCUCUCUCUAUCUACGUCUCUCUCUCUCUCUCUCUCUCUCUCUCUCUCUCUCUACUGCUUAUUCUCUCGCUCUCUCUCUGUCUCUCUAUUUAUUUCUCUCUCUACCUCUCCCUUUCUCACCCUCUCUCUCAUUAACUCUCCCCACCUUGUCGUCUCUCUUUUUCUUUUUUUUUUACUCUUCAUCAGGCUCCCAUUAAGUUCUUUAUUUUUGGGGCCGUCUGCUCCUUCCAUCUUUUAUUCCCCCCCCCCACACACACACACACACACACACACACACACACACACACACUCCCUCCCUCUUCUCUUCUCUCUCUCUCUCCCACUUUGCACUGUAUGUCGUCACCCCAGCACCAUAUUAAUCCUCCUCAAACGCAGUCUGCCAAUCUCAGUCCUCUUUGAUGCAUACAUUAAUUACAGUCAGGAUGAGAGUCCCGGGCCGGGACGUCUUGUAAGCCAUAGGAGACACGCCUUCGCAGAGCUAAAAUCUGAAAUGUACACACACACACACACACAUAUAUAUAUAUAUAUAUAUAUUAUCACAGUGCACAUUUGAGAUCGUGUUCGAAAAGCUCACCACAUUGAUAUAAUGAGGUCAUUAGUAGCCGUGUUAACAUUGUUAUUGGUUAUCGAUUUUACAGGGACAUCUACAUGAAUUAGACGGGCAUAGGUAAGUAACAGGCUGGUAAUUAUUUUUUUUAUUAUUUAGAUUUUAGGGGUUUGGAAUUCUGAAGUCAACUGUGUGGCAUUGCUUGUAAUAGUUGUACCAAACACAACACUAUUCUGUAAUAACAAGGAAUGUGCUGGUAGGCAAAUACGGUUGGCUCAAUAAUCGGGAUAAUUUCACUUAACUAUUCUCAAUGCAAGAAUCCAAUAUCAAGAAGGAACAAAUUUAACAUAUUCAUACAAAAUUAUCAAUUAACAUUUUCGAUUAAUAUGAUCUCAAACAUAUUUUUCUAAUGGUCAUUGUCUUAAAGGACUUAAUUGGAUGCUAGUCGAUCUUGAAUAAAAUAAAUAGCAUUUGCAAAAAACAUUAGCAGGUAAUUCGGAACUGCUAGUAGAAGCAUUGACUUGAUGUACAUAUAAAGCCCUGAUCACUUAACGCAUUGGAAAUAGAUUAACUUGCAGGCCUAGUGCCUAAAACCUCGGUGCAGUCCAAUGUUGACAUAGUAGGUUCUCCUGAAGGGCACAGAUGUUCAUCCAUCCCAUCUCAGGUCUGAACCGAGUAGCUCUAAAACCGGGAGUCAAUGACCAAUGGCUGGAACAGCUAACGUUUUUUUUUAAAUGCCAACAUUAAAUAACCCAUCGUUUGAUUCUUCUUUUUUUUCUAUCACCACACGCACCGUAUCUUCAUAAAAUGUAAUUAUUUCUGUUCACAGAAUCCGUGAACAUGGAACCGUUUCUUGGGAGAAAAUUGCACAGGGAUAUGAAAUGAUGUAUGGGCAGACAGUCGCCUAAUUAGACCGUUAAAAAUUGAAUCUUUACGGCCGUCUGGUCAUAUAAUUAGGCCUACCGUUAAUUUAACGCUCACAGUCUCUAUCGUUACAUUUUAUUCUCUUUAAAUGCUGUUUUGCAGUGAUUGUUGGAGCAUAGAUCUGACUGUAAGGAGAAGCUGCUCCUCCAAUCAAACACCGUGGAGCCUUAAGUCCAAAUAACAAGACCAGCAUCGUUUAUGCUUUGUUAAGCCAUGUCCACUAAUUGAACGAGCCAUAGUUUGCAUAUUACACUAUUAAAAUAAUGUGCUUUGCGUUUUUCCCAACACGACUAUUUAAGCAUGUGUGGUGAUGUGGUAAUUUCUUGAAUUACUGUCUAAUUACCGCAAUGUUCUUUUGAUUUGGUUGAUUUCAAUGUUACGCCACAUUGAUGUUCAAUAUUACCCGAAUGAAUUACUCAACCGUGCCUGGAAACUUUUUUCUCAUUUGACUCAGAUCCUCUUGGUUGUAUGGUUUGUCACGACGGACUGCCAGCGCCUUGUUUUGGCAUGUUCCCAUUCAUAAAGGAUUAUCAAGCCAUGUGUUAUGGAGCCAGUUCUUGUGUUAAAUGGACCUCAUAUUGAAGUUGUGAAAACAAAGAGAAAUGGCUUUUAAUAAACACUAUAUGCUGUACUUCACCCCAAUCCUGAAAUCGUUAUGUUUUUCUUUCAAUAUAUUUCUGUAAAGAUGUA